GGUGUGCAAUAGACUUACCUCCACGUGGUGCACACUGGGCAACGUAUACUCAUGCGGCUAAAAAGCCUAU
rnacentral:ribozyme from 1 species